rnacentral:rRNA from 1 species
CUAAUACAUGCAAGUCGAACGAACUCUGGUAUUGAUUGGUGCUUGCAUCAUGAUUUACAUUUGAGUGAGUGGCGAACUGGUGAGUAACACGUGGGAAACCUGCCCAGAAGCGGGGGAUAACACCUGGAAACAGAUGCUAAUACCGCAUAACAACUUGGACCGCAUGGUCCGAGCUUGAAAGAUGGCUUCGGCUAUCACUUUUGGAUGGUCCCGCGGCGUAUUAGCUAGAUGGUGGGGUAACGGCUCACCAUGGCAAUGAUACGUAGCCGACCUGAGAGGGUAAUCGGCCACAUUGGGACUGAGACACGGCCCAAACUCCUACGGGAGGCAGCAGUAGGGAAUCUUCCACAAUGGACGAAAGUCUGAUGGAGCAACGCCGCGUGAGUGAAGAAGGGUUUCGGCUCGUAAAACUCUGUUGUUAAAGAAGAACAUAUCUGAGAGUAACUGUUCAGGUAUUGACGGUAUUUAACCAGAAAGCCACGGCUAACUACGUGCCAGCAGCCGCGGUAAUACGUAGGUGGCAAGCGUUGUCCGGAUUUAUUGGGCGUAAAGCGAGCGCAGGCGGUUUUUUAAGUCUGAUGUGAAAGCCUUCGGCUCAACCGAAGAAGUGCAUCGGAAACUGGGAAACUUGAGUGCAGAAGAGGACAGUGGAACUCCAUGUGUAGCGGUGAAAUGCGUAGAUAUAUGGAAGAACACCAGUGGCGAAGGCGGCUGUCUGGUCUGUAACUGACGCUGAGGCUCGAAAGUAU